rnacentral:rRNA from 1 species
UACAGAGGGUGCGAGCGUUGUUCGGAAUUAUUGGGCGUAAAGGGCGCGUAGGCGGUGCGGUAAGUCACCUGUGAAAUCUCCUGGCUCAACUGGGAGCUUGCAGGCGAAACUGCCGUGCUGGAGUGUGGGAGAGGUGAGUGGAAUUCCUGGUGUAGCGGUGAAAUGCGCAGAUAUCAGGAGGAACACCGGUGGCGAAGGCGGGUCUCUGGGCCGAUACUGACGCUGAGGAGCGAAAGCGUGGGGAGCGAACAGG